rnacentral:rRNA from 1 species
UACAGAGGUCCCAAGCGUUGUUCGGAUUCACUGGGCGUAAAGGGUGCGUAGGCGGUCGGGUAAGUCUGAUGUGAAAUCUCACAGCUUAACUGUGAAACUGCAUUGGAUACUAUCCGGCUCGAGGAAUGGAGGGGAGACUGGAAUACUUGGUGUAGCAGUGAAAUGCGUAGAUAUCAAGUGGAACACCAGUGGCGAAGGCGAGUCUCUGGACAUUUCCUGACGCUGAGGCACGAAAGCCAGGGGAGCA